rnacentral:rRNA from 1 species
AUUGAACGCUGGCGGCAGGCUUAACACAUGCAAGUCGAGCGGGGGAAGGUAGCUUGCUACCGGACCUAGCGGCGGACGGGUGAGUAAUGCUUAGGAAUCUGCCUAUUAGUGGGGGACAACAUCUCGAAAGGGAUGCUAAUACCGCAUACGUCCUACGGGAGAAAGCAGGGGAUCUUCGGACCUUGCGCUAAUAGAUGAGCCUAAGUCGGAUUAGCUAGUUGGUGGGGUAAAGGCCUACCAAGGCGACGAUCUGUAGCGGGUCUGAGAGGAUGAUCCGCCACACUGGGACUGAGACACGGCCCAGACUCCUACGGGAGGCAGCAGUGGGGAAUAUUGGGCAAUGGGGGGAACCCUGAUCCAGCCAUGCCGCGUGUGUGAAGAAGGCCUUAUGGUUGUAAAGCACUUUAAGCGAGGAGGAGGCUACUUUAGUUAAUACCUAGAGAUAGUGGACGUUACUCGCAGAAUAAGCACCGGCUAACUCUGUGCCAGCCGCCGCAGUAA